rnacentral:rRNA from 1 species
CUCCUACGGGAGGCAGCAGUGGGGAAUAUUGCACAAUGGGGGAAACCCUGAUGCAGCGACGCCGCGUGGGCGAGGAAGUACCUCGGUAUGUAAGCCCUAUCAGCAGGGAAGAAACAGGACAGUACCUGACUAAGAAGCCCCGGCUAACUACGUGCCAGCAGCCGCGGUAAUACGUAGGGGGCAGGCGUUAUCCGGAAUUACUGGGUGCAAAGGGAGCGUGGACGGUGAUGCAAGUCUGGAGUGAAAGGCGGGGGCCCAACCCCCGGACUGCUCUGGAAACUGUGUAACUUGAGGGCAGGAGAGGG